rnacentral:rRNA from 1 species
GAUCCUGGCUCAGAUUGAACGCUGGCGGCAGGCCUAACACAUGCAAGUCGAGCGGUAACAGAUCCAGCUUGCUGGAUGCUGACGAGCGGCGGACGGGUGAGUAAUGCAUAGGAAUCUGCCCGAUAGUGGGGGAUAACCUGGGGAAACCCAGGCUAAUACCGCAUACGUCCUACGGGAGAAAGGGGGCUCCGGCUCCCGCUAUGGGAUGAGCCUAUGUCGGAUUAGCUAGUUGGUGAGG